rnacentral:rRNA from 1 species
UACAGAGGUCUCAAGCGUUGUUCGGAUUCAUUGGGCGUAAAGGGUGCGUAGGCGGCGCGGUAAGUCGGGUGUGAAAUCUCGGAGCUUAACUCCGAAACUGCAUUCGAUACUGCCGUGCUUGAGGACUGGAGAGGAGACUGGAAUUUACGGUGUAGCGGUGAAAUGCGUAGAUAUCGUAAGGAAGACCAGUGGCGAAGGCGGGUCUCUGGACAGUUCCUGACGCUGAGGCACGAAAGGCCCAGG